rnacentral:rRNA from 1 species
AGGCUGCAACUCGCCUACAUGAAGUCGGAAUUGCUAGUAAUCGCGGAUCAGCAUGCCGCGGUGAGUACGUUCCCGGGCCUUGUACACACCGCCCGUCACACCAUGGGAGUCGGUAACACCCGAAGCCUGUAGUCUAACCGCAAGGAGGACGCAGUCGAAGGUGGGAUUGAUGACUGGGGUGAAGUCGUAACAAGGUAAC